rnacentral:rRNA from 1 species
GUAGGGUGCAAGCGUUAAUCGGAAUUACUGGGCGUAAAGCGUGCGCAGGCGGUUAUGCAAGACAGAUGUGAAAUCCCCGGGCUCAACCUGGGAACUGCAUUUGUGACUGCAUGGCUAGAGUACGGCAGAGGGGGAUGGAAUUCCGCGUGUAGCAGUGAAAUGCGUAGAUAUGCGGAGGAACACCGAUGGCGAAGGCAAUCCCCUGGGCCUGUACUGACGCUCAUGCACGAAAGCGUGGGGAGCAAACAGGAUUAGAUACCCUGGUAGUCCACGCCCUAAACGAUGUCAACUGGUUGUUGGGAGGGUUUCUUCUCAGUAACGUAGCUAACGCGUGAAGUUGACCGCCUGGGGAGUACGGCCGCAAGGUUGAA